GCCCAGCCCGGACCCGCCUCCACCCUCCAGUGCCCUGGCGCUGGGGGCGUGCUAAAAGCAACAGAAAACAAAACAAAAACAAACAAAGCGCCAAACCCCACUCUCACCUCUUCUACUGGUCAAAGAAAUUUGAGGAACUUAUAAUGAAACCAAGUAAUGAAUCACUAAAUAAUGAAAUCGCCAAAUAAUGAAAUCACCAACUGGAAAUUAGAAGUAAAUGGUCAUAGCAAACCCUAACCAGGUAAGUAGAGCCCUCUCAGAUGAUCCAUCCAUGGACCAAGGAAGACUGUUUCCCAGAGUCUUCACAGGGUCUUUCUGUGAAUUGGGGAUUAAAUGCCUUUGAGAAAACAUAGACUUGUACAGGAGCUGGGAUAAAGAUAUAAAAAAGAGAUCGAAGAGGAAAUUAUUUAACAAGAUGUUUGACAUAUUUUCAAAUGUAUAUUAGACUGUCCUAGCAGAUGAACCAAAGAGCAAGAGAGCACUAUCUUGAGUUUAAGGCAGAAGCUUCAAGGCUUACUAUAAUUGGUUUUUGUGAUUAACUCAACUUUUCCCUUUUAGAAUAUGAUAUACGGUAGUCUUCCCUCAUCAAUGGAAUAAUUGGUGAGGGAAAGGUAUAAAUAAUUCAAUUCUGUAAAAUCUUGGGUUUUGUGAUUGUGAGAUGCAUUAAAAACGGUGUUUUUUAAGAAAAUAGAACUGGUUAUUACAAAGAGAACAUACACUGGGCAUUGAAAUGAAAAAUUAUCAAAUGAAUAGGAUGUAGUAACUUCCUUAAAACUGCCACUUUCCUCACAAGAAUUUUUGCCUAUCAAGGUUUGGACCAAUUGCCAAUUGUCUUAUAUCCAUAUUUGCCACUUGAGAGGAGCACUUUUUUUUCCUAGUGUUUUACUGUAUUUGACUUGGCAAUGAAAUGAAGCUCCCUCUCGGCAAAUAUACAGAAUGAAACUUUUGUUAAUUUGGGACAGGGGAGAGGAGGGUUUUGUCUGAUAUUACAAGGGGGAAAAGUGCAUUUACUCCACUGAAGUUUCUUUUGUACUGUUUUCUGCCAGUUUAAUUUUUAUUUUCUUUGGAGUUCUGAUGAUAUAUUAAUGUAACAGAUAUAGUUUAUAAUAUAAUGUGUUAAUAGUAUAAUAGUUUGGCUAUUUCAUAUUUUAGUAUUUUACAUGUUAGUCAUGUAACACAAAACAUGUAGGCAGGACUGGUUGAAAGAAACUAUUAGAUGAUUACUACAUAGCGAGGGCCACCCAAGUCCAAUUCACUGCAUGUGAACUGUUGAAGAAGUUUUGCAGAAUUUCUCUUUCAUGUUGUCAGAUGUCAUGUGGUGGUAUCAACCAGGUAAAUGAUUAAGUUGGAUUCUCUGGAGAGUCACUGGUAUAUUUCCUGCCUCCAAGCAUAUCUGAAACCAAGCUACAACUAUAGGAAGUGUUGAAUUGCAGAAAUGUGGUCGAAUUGUUAUCUCUACUACCUGUAUUAUGGAGAUUAGAAGUUGUAAGUAAAGAAGUCUGGGUCUUUUUCAACUUUUUUUUGCCCUGAGGCCGGCUGAAGAACUAAUAGCAUCCUCUCCCACCAUGGUCACUGAAAAAAGUAGCAAAUCUUAAAUAAAGGAAAACAUGAGAUCUGAGAUCUUUUCGAUCUGCCUUAAGAUUGGACAGAGUUUACGGAAUAAUUAUGUUGAAGCUCCCAAAUAAUGUGAAUGAGGUUAUCUUUCUGAAGGGGUGAAAGGGUCUUUGUGACCCACAUUCCUUUUGGAGCUAACCUGCUAAAAAAAGAAAAGCAGACAGACAGAAAGAGGAAAACAAAUCCUAUUUGAGAUGGAGGUUGAGUGACAAGAGAAACUUUUAGCCUUCAGAUAUGUUUGCUCUGCACCAGGUACAUAAUAAUAUGGUUUUUGGAUCUUUGAAUCCAUACUUAGCUAGGCAUUAAAUUCUAGGAAUAAUCUGUUUAUGGAAAAUAAAGCCAUUUCUAUUUGAAAACAAAUGGAACAAAAUAAUUAUUUUUCCCCAAAUGUGUACCCUUUUAAUUGAUCAAAUGCAUCCAGGAAAUUCUGCUGGCAAUUUGAACACUGUAGGUGUUGUUGCAGCUCUAAAUUUGUCUGCAAGAGGAAUUGUAAAUGGUAUUUACCUUUUAAUUAAACAAAGCAUCUUGCAAAUUAAACACAUGUUCUUGCACAUCAAAAUUUAGUUAACAUCCUUUUCAUUGUUCAUCCUGCUGACACUCUGACAGCAUCGUGAGUCCACACACAAUAUAGAGUCAUGCUGCUCCCCCCUUCCCUGCACUUUGCAUUCCUCAGAGUAGAUGAUAUCACAUGCUAGAGUACCCUCUGUAACUGACUUCUAAUAACUGAGCAGCUUUUCCCAUUUAAUAUACUUAAUAUUGUGUAAAAUAUGGGACUGCAUUGGUGUGUCCAGAACCUGGAAAGCUUUGGACACUGAUCUGACAUAUGUCUUAUAAUCUUACACUGAAAAUUUGACAGUGAAUGACAGAACACCUUAGAGGAAUAUAAGAAACUGAUAAAGGCAGAAGCACUGCACGUGAAUGCAGAGUAUGGUUUCUAAUAGCUACAUACUUUUUUACAUGCAUACCAGUAAUUUGACAUUUAUAA
rnacentral:lncRNA from 1 species